rnacentral:tRNA from 1 species
GCAGAAAUAGCUCAGUUGGGAGAGAGUUAGACUGAAGAUCUAAAGGUCCCUGGUUUAAUCCCAGGUUUUGGCA